rnacentral:rRNA from 1 species
CCUACGGGAGGCAGCAGUGGGGAAUAUUGGACAAUGGGCGAAAGCCUGAUCCAGCCAUGCCGCGUGUGUGAAGAAGGCCUUCGGGUUGUAAAGCACUUUCAGUGGGGAAGAAAGCCUUGGGGCUAAUACCCUCGAGGAAGGACAUCACCCACAGAAGAAGCACCGGCUAACUCCGUGCCAGCAGCCGCGGUAAUACGGGAGGGUGCGAGCGUUAAUCGGAAUUACUGGGCGUAAAGCGCGCGUAGGCGGUCUGAUAAGCCGGUUGUGAAAGCCCCGAGCUCAACCUGGGAACGGCAUCCGGAACUGUCAGGCUAGAGUGCAGGAGAGGAAGGUAGAAUUCCCGGUGUAGCGGUGAAAUGCGUAGAGAUCGGGAGGAAUACCAGUGGCGAAGGCGGCCUUCUGGACUGACACUGACGCUGAGGUGCGAAAGCGUGGGUAGCAAACAGGAUUAGAUACCCUGGUAGUC